UAUAUGAUUGUUAAUGCAGUUGGUGAGUAUUCUAUUGUCGUGCGUGUGGUUUGCUCACCCACUUAGCUCGGAGCAACUAAUCGGAGCAGUUAUUGUGUUUGGUUCUAUAUACUCUAAAAACAUCUUUAGAAGUAAACCGAAGCCAACGUUGCCUGAACAAACAGAAAACGGGUCUUCUAGUCCGCCUAGGGCUACUACUGCAUAAGACGUGGGCUGUGUAGCUGGGCUAUCGGCUUAUAGGGGCUUCAGCUCACUAAACUCUGUUUAUUAACUGUUUCUUGAAAGAUGGCCAUCUUUGCAGAUUUGGGGUCCCACUCCCACCCAAUAUUUAUAACAAAACGGCUUUGCUUGGAGUAAUUUUAACCGUAACUCCUGCAAGCAACAAAAAUACUUCCAGAAUUUUCUCAGGUGACCUCCAUCUGAUGAUAGGAUAUUAACCAUAUAGCCAUAUAGCCAUUUCCUUUUUUUUUUUUUUUUUUUGUUUUUUUUACAGUUGGAACUGUUUAUUUUUGAUACCUUAGAAAUGGUUAGAGCAGUUGAUAUUUAUUGAAAUUUUCGUGUUUUUAAUUUA